UCUCUCUCUCUCUCUCUCUCUCUCUCUCGCUCCUGUGGUUUUUACUGUUUCAUGCACAGCAUUAUUAGGGUUUUCGUUGUUCGCGCUCCUUAAUUCGAUCAGUGCUGCUCUGAGAGACUCAUCCACAUGGCUUUUCCUGGGAAGAAGCUCAUUAACGAUCCCAAUGAUGUCGUCACUGAAUUCAUAGAAGGUCUUGUGGAGACGUAUCCUGGGUUACAAUAUUUAGAUGGCUUUCCACUGGUGAAGGUAGUAUUACGUGCUGAUGUUCACACAGACAACAUAUGACAAAGUUGCAAUCAUAUCAG